UACAGAGGGGGCAAGCGUUGUUCGGAAUUACUGGGCGUAAAGGGCGCGUAGGCGGCCUGUUAAGUCGAACGUGAAAUCCCCGGGCUCAACCGGGGAACUGCGUCUGAUACUGGGUGGCUUGAAUCCGGGAGAGGGAUGCGGAAUUCCAGGUGUAGCGGUGAAAUGCGUAGAUAUCUGGAGGAACACCGGUGGCGAAGGCGGCAUCCUGGACCGGCAUUGACGCUGAGGCGCGAAAGCCAGGGGAGCAAACGGG
rnacentral:rRNA from 1 species